AUUGAACGCUGGCGGCAUGCCUUACACAUGCAAGUCGAACGGCAGCGCGGAAUGGGGUAACCCGGCCUGGCGGCGAGUGGCGAACGGGUGAGUAAUAUAUCGGAACGUACCCUGGAGUGGGGGAUAACGUAGCGAAAGUUACGCUAAUACCGCAUACGAUCUAAGGAUGAAAGUGGGGGAUUCGCAAGAACCUCAUGCUCCUGGAGCGGCCGAUAUCUGAUUAGCUAGUUGGUAGGGUAAAAGCCUACCAAGGCAUCGAUCAGUAGCUGGUUUUGAGAGGACGACCAGCCACACUGGAACUGAGACACGGUCCAGACUCCUACGGGAGGCAGCAGUGGGGAAUUUUGGACAAUGGGCGCAAGCCUGAUCCAGCAAUGCCGCGUGAGUGAAGAAGGCCUUCGGGUUGUAAAGCUCUUUUGUCAGGGAAGAAACGGUGGGAGCUAAUAUCUCUCACUAAUGACGGUACCUGAAGAAUAAGCACCGGCUAACUACGUGCCAGCAGCCGCGGUAAUACGUAGGGUGCAAGCGUUAAUCGGAAUUACUGGGCGUAAAGCGUGCGCAGGCGGUUUUGUAAGUUUGUCGUGAAAUCCCCGGGCUCAACCUGGGAAUGGCGAUGAAGACUGCAAGGCUAGAAUCUGGCAGAGGGGGGUAGAAUUCCACGUGUAGCAGUGAAAUGCGUAGAGAUGUGGAGGAACACCGAUGGCGAAGGCAGCCCCCUGGGUCAAGAUUGACGCUCAUGCACGAAAGCGUGGGGAGCAAACAGGAUUAGAUACCCUGGUAGUCCACGCCCUAAACGAUGUCUACUAGUUGUCGGGUUUUAAUUAACUUGGUAACGCAGCUAACGCGUGAAGUAGACCGCCUGGGGAGUACGGUCGCAAGAUUAAAACUCAAAGGAAUUGACGGGGACCCGCACAAGCGGUGGAUGAUGUGGAUUAAUUCGAUGCAACGCGAAAAACCUUACCUACCCUUGACAUGUACGGAAGCCUGGAGAGAUUCGGGUGUGCUCGAAAGAGAGCCGUAACACAGGUGCUGCAUGGCUGUCGUCAGCUCGUGUCGUGAGAUGUUGGGUUAAGUCCCGCAACGAGCGCAACCCUUGUCAUUAGUUGCUACGAAAGAGCACUCUAAUGAGACUGCCGGUGACAAACCGGAGGAAGGUGGGGAUGACGUCAAGUCCUCAUGGCCCUUAUGGGUAGGGCUUCACACGUCAUACAAUGGUACAUACAGAGGGCCGCCAACCCGCGAGGGGGAGCUAAUCCCAGAAAGUGUAUCGUAGUCCGGAUUGUAGUCUGCAACUCGACUACAUGAAGUUGGAAUCGCUAGUGAUCGCGGAUCAGCAUGUCGCGGUGAAUACGUUCCCGGGUCUUGUACACACCGCCCGUCACACCAUGGGAGCGGGUUUUACCAGAAGUAGGUAGCUUAACCGUAAGGAGGGCGCUUACCACGGUAGGAUUCGUGACUGGGGUG
rnacentral:rRNA from 1 species